rnacentral:lncRNA from 1 species
UGGGUGCAGCACACCAACAUGGCACAUGUAUACAUAUGUAACUAACCUGCACAUUGUGCACAUGUACCCUAAAACUUAAAGUAUAAUUUAAAAAAAGAAAAAGAAAAUAUAUGUGUUAAGAUGAGCUCAUGUGAGAGAAUAUGGGGGAUGGGAAGGAAGCACAUCUCCUAUGGGCCUAAACCAAGGCCAGUAUUCCCUCUUCCCAACCCAUGUGCCACUAACACAGUGUACUGCAUAUAUUUUUUAAAUAGAUUUUUCUUUUUUAGAGCAGUUUCAAGUUCAUGGCAAAUUG